AUUGAACGCUGGCGGAAUGCUUUACACAUGCAAGUCGAACGGCAGCACGGGGCAACCUGGUGGCGAGUGGCGAACGGGUGAGUAAUAUAUCGGAACGUGCCCAAUCGUGGGGGAUAACGUAGCGAAAGCUGUGCUAAUACCGCAUACGAUCUACGGAUGAAAGCGGGGGAUCGCAAGACCUCGCGCGGACGGAGCGGCCGAUGGCAGAUUUAGGUAGUUGGUGGGAUAAAAAGCUUACCAAGCCGACGAUCUGUAGCUGGUCUGAGAGGACGACCAGCCACACUGGGACUGAGACACGGCUCAGACUCCUACGGGAGGCAGCAGUGGGGAAUUUUGGACAAUGGGCGCAAGCCUGAUCCAGCCAUGCCGCGUGCAGGAUGAAGGCCUUCGGGUUGUAAACUGCUUUUGUACGGUAACGAAAAAGACUCUCUCUAAUACAGGGGGUGAAUGACGGUACCGUAAGAAUAAGCACCGGCUAACUACGUGCCAGCAGCCGCGGUAAU
rnacentral:rRNA from 1 species